rnacentral:rRNA from 1 species
UACGGGGGGGGGCAAGCGUUGUUCGGAAUUACUGGGCGUAAAGGGCUCGUAGGCGGCCAACUAAGUCAGACGUGAAAUCCCUCGGCUUAACCGGGGAACUGCAUCUGAUACUGGAUGGCUUGAGUUCGGGAGAGGGAUGCGGAAUUCCGGGUGUAGCGGUGAAAUGCGUAGAUAUCCGGAGGAACACCGGUGGCGAAGGCGGCUUCCUGGACCGACACUGACGCUGAGGCGCGAAAGCUAGGGGAGCAAACGGG